rnacentral:rRNA from 1 species
UACAGAGGGGGCAAGCGUUGUUCGGAAUUACUGGGCGUAAAGGGCGCGUAGGCGGCCUGUUAAGUCAGACGUGAAAUCCCUCGGCUCAACCGGGGAACUGCGUCUGAUACUGGCGGGCUUGAAUUCGGGAGAGGGAUGUGGAAUUCCAGGUGUAGCGGUGGAAUGCGCAGAUAUCAGGAGGAACACCGGUGGCGAAGGCGGGAUCCUGGGCCAGUACUGACGCUGAUGAGCGAAAGCGUGGGGAGCAAACAGG